CGCAGGCGCGGGGCGGUGCACAGCGCGGGCGCAGGCGCCGAGAGGCGCGCAGGAGACCUCAGGCCCAGGCUCCACUCCCCAGCUGUGAAAGGACUGCUGUCCAGACCCCCAAGCUAGCCCGCCAGGCCUCCAUAGAGCUGCCCAGCAUGGCUGCGUCCAGUACCAAAAGUUGGUGGGAGACGGGUGAGGUACAGGCUCAGUCUGCAGCCAAGACUCCGUCCUGCAAGGAUAUUGUGGCUGGAGACAUGAGCAAGAAAAGCCUCUGGGAGCAGAAGGGAGGCUCCAAGACCUCAUCAACAAUUAAGGAAGGAGUGAUUGGCUGCUGGUCCUGCCCUGUCCGAGGAGGAGGACGGAACCCACCCACCAAGCUAUGGAGAGGUGGACCCCACAAAUCCCCUCGCAAGCCACGUCUGAGAGCGAGCAGAGGGAAGAAACUCAAGCGUUUGUAGUCCUCUUUCUUAACAACCAGGCUUAAAGCGCCA
rnacentral:lncRNA from 1 species